rnacentral:rRNA from 1 species
UACGAAGGGUGCAAGCGUUAAUCGGAAUUACUGGGCGUAAAGAGCGCGCAGGCGGCUGGUCAAGUCCGAUGUGAAAUCUCCCGGCUCAACUGGGAAACUGCAUCGGAAACUGAUCGGCUUGAAGAUGGGAGAGGGUAGUGGAAUUCCCGGUGUAGUGGUGAAAUGCGUAGAUAUCGGGAGGAACACCAGUGGCGAAGGCGACUACCUGGCCCAUUCUUGACGCUGAGGCGCGAAAGCUAGGGGAGCGAACGGG